GGAGAGCUGGUGGAGGAGCAAAAGCAGCAAGAGGAAGAGCUGCCAAGAGCUCCGAAGGAGAACAUGUGAAGACGUCUCUGCAACAGACUUCCAAGUAAAGGACAAACAUCACGGAGGUGAGAGGAACGGGCAGUCUCACUCUGCCGUGGGAUUUAAUCAAGAGCUCAAGCAGCCCUCAGGCUCCUGGGAGUCACUUGUGGCGAUGAGGGAAACAGAAUGAAGUCGAUGCCGAUGACCACAGAAGAGAAAAAUGGAAAUGAUCGGAGUCCUUGCAUAUGUUGUUGAACCAGUGAAUAUACCAAUUCUGAAGCCUAGCUUCCAUCUGAACUCCUGCUCUGAAUUAUUCCUGAACAAUGAAAAUGGGAAGACAGAAUCUGAACUCCAACUUGGGGAGUUUAGGCCAUGUAUGGAUCCUAGAAGUAGCUAAAUGACAGCACACAAGCUUUCAUCCAGGACUUCAAGAGAGAGAUCAGAAGCAGAAAUAUCAUACCAAGAACUCGCCAGGAAGGUAUUAAGAAAAAAAUCCAUAAGAAGAUUUGUGAUCAAUAAGCAGAGAGGUAAAGAGGAGAGCAGAAGCAGACACAAACAGUACAAAAAAAAAUUCAAAUUGGCUCCCUAAUAACACAAAAAUGACUACAUUCUUAUACCUGUUCUUUUACAGUAUUUAAAUUCUUUACUUAUUUUUCAAAUAAUCAUCUACCAAAUUGAGUAGCU